CUACGGGCCGCUCCAGUGAGGAAUAUUGCACAAUGGGGGGAACCCUGAUGCAGCAACGCCGCGUGGAGGAUGACGCAUUUCGGUGUGUAAACUCCUUUUAUAUGUCAAGAAAAUGACGGUAGCAUAUGAAUAAGCACCGGCUAACUCCGUGCCAGCAGCCGCGGUAAUACGGAGGGUGCAAGCGUUACUCGGAAUCACUGGGCGUAAAGGACGCGUAGGCGGGUUGGAAAGUCAGGUGUGAAAUCCUACAGCUUAACUGUAGAACUGCACUUGAAACUUCUAAUCUAGAGUAUGGGAGGGGGAGAUGGAAUUAGUGGUGUAGGGGUAAAAUCCGUAGAUAUCACUAGGAAUACCAAAAGCGAAGGCGACCUCCUGGAACAUUACUGACGCUAAGGCGCGAAAGCGUGGGGAGCAAACAGGAUUAGAUACCCCCGUAGUC
rnacentral:rRNA from 1 species